CGUAUGCAUACUGCGGAAGACAUUACCGAGUUGAUUCGGGCUCCGGCCCGAUCCUCCCACCCUUUGUGUACCUACCUCUGUUGCUUUGGCGGGCCGCGGUCCUCCGCGGCCGCCCCCCUCCCCGGGGGGUGGCCAGCGCCCGCCAGAGGACCAUCAAACUCCAGUCAGUAAACGAUGCAGUCUGAAAAACAUUUAAUAAACUAAAACUUUCAACAACGGAUCUCUUGGUUCUGGCAUCGAUGAAGAACGCAGCGAAAUGCGAUAAGUAAUGUGAAUUGCAGAAUUCAGUGAAUCAUCGAAUCUUUGAACGCACAUUGCGCCCUUUGGUAUUCCGAAGGGCAUGCCUGUUCGAGCGUCAUUACAACCCUCAAGCUCUGCUUGGUAUUGGGCACCGUCCUUUGCGGGCGCGCCUCAAAGACCUCGGCGGUGGCGUCUUGCCUCAAGCGUAGUAGAACAUACAUCUCGCUUCGGAGCGCAGGGCGUCGCCCGCCGGACGAACCUUCUGAACUUUUCUCAAGGUUGACCUCGGAUCAGGUAGGGAUACCCGCUGAACUUAAGCAUAUCAAUAGAACAGGAGGAA
rnacentral:rRNA from 1 species